rnacentral:lncRNA from 1 species
AAGUUAGUUCUUUAAGAUACAAUGUAGUAUAAAACAAAGAGACAAGCUUUGGAUCAUGCAGACCCAGAGUUGGAAUUACAACCCUUCUGUCCCUUGAUUUUUCAUCUCCUAACAUAAGGUUGCAAUGCCCUAGAAUACAACACAGGGCAUGGUGUACUGACAUUCAGCAAAUACAUGUUGAUUCAUUUUCCCCUCUUUCUUUUUCUUCUUUAUCUUACUCCCUCUUUUUCUUCAUUUUCUUUGAUUCUGUCUAAACUGAUCAAAAUAUCAAGGGCUAUUCGGGGACAAUUGGGAAAAAUUUGAAUACUGGAUAUUUAUUGGUAUAAUAGAAUGAUCCUGAUUUUUAGGUAUAAUAAUUAUUCCAAAGUAGAGUUUUUAAAAAAGAAUCUCCCCUUUUUAAAGAUACUUUUGAAGUGUUUGUGGAUGCAGUGAUAUGAUGUAUAUAGGAUUUGCUCAAUAAAACCCAGUGAAUUGGGGGGUUGGAGGACAAGAAUGUAUAGAGGUAUGGAUGAAACCAGAUUGGUUUGAGUUGAUAAUUGUUGAAUCUGAGUGAUGAGUAUAUGGGGAUUCAUUAUACUGUCAGUCACUACUUUUGUGUGUGUCUGAAAAUUUCCAAAAUAAAACAUUUUCCAAAAUGUCAAUGCAGAAAGUUCAAGCCUCAGUGUUUUCCUCAUCUUCAACAAAGCUCCUAAUUCUCCCCCAAGGACAUUCUGGGUGGCUCUUCUCCUUGCUUUCCCCAGUACUUCCUGGGUUAUUCCAGACUCAUGCCAGCACAGCACCACACUGCCUCAGCCCCCGCAGUUGGCAUUUGAACAAAAAUCUCUUCCUGACCCCAGAUGGCAUCACAGCUUUCUCAGUCUGAUCCCGUAAGCAUAUUUUUUUCAAGCACCUGAUUCCUGGAUAUGGCAGCAAUAAAACCAACCAAGAUUGUUUGGCUGGCCCCCUCUGGAGCAGGUAUUUCCCAUUCUGACGCUGUCAGCCAUCUGAGCACGCUGCUUCCAAGAGCUCCAAAAUUACAGCCGAGUAAGAAUUUCACAGACUGCAGUGCAUGCUUUUAUAUCUGCAGCCAGAGUGUUCCUGAGGGAUGGAGAGCCACUAAGGUAAAUGGUAUACUAAUAUUACUGAUUAUUAAUGGGAAAACUGAUGCAAAUAAGCAAUUUUAUGGACUGCACUUUAUUGGGAAGCUGGCGUGAGUGGAGGAGAAAAAGCAAAGAACAAGCACAAGUGGAGUUUAUUUACUCUGGUCCUUGUCACAAUAUGGACUCUAAGUUAAAUAUAUAUCAGACUGCAGUUUAAUUGAAGUAGAAAGAUAAAGGGCUGAGUUAUCCCAGUCUUGGUGACUUCCUGAGAAACCAACAAACUAAAGACAGAAGCAAAGGUAAGUCAGACCAGGUCUAUGUGGAGAGCUAAACCAGAGAUCUCAGUGGGUGGCUUCCAGGCAGCACUUCACCAAUAGGCUUUUGGGAGUCUGUGGGUGUUUUCUGUGGCAUCAUAAAUUUAUGGGGUGUGUUGGGG